GAGUUUGAUCGUGGCUCAGAUUGAACGCUGGCGGCAUGCCUUACACAUGCAAGUCGAACGGCAGCACGGGAGCUUGCUCCUGGUGGCGAGUGGCGAACGGGUGAGUAAUGCAUCGGAACGUAUCCUGGAGUGGGGGAUAACGUAGCGAAAGUUACGCUAAUACCGCAUAUUCUGUGAGCAGGAAAGCGGGGGACCUUCGGGCCUCGCGCUCUUGGAGCGGCCGAUGUCGGAUUAGCUAGUUGGUGAGGUAAAGGCUCACCAAGGCGACGAUCCGUAGCAGGUCUGAGAGGAUGAUCUGCCACACUGGAACUGAGACACGGUCCAGACUCCUACGGGAGGCAGCAGUGGGGAAUUUUGGACAAUGGGGGCAACCCUGAUCCAGCCAUGCCGCGUGAGUGAAGAAGGCCUCGGUUGUAAGG
rnacentral:rRNA from 1 species